GGAUGCGAUCAUACCAGCACUAAAGCACCGGAUCCCAUCAGAACUUCGAAGUUAAGGGUGCUUGGGCAAGAGUAGUGCUAGGAUGGGUGACCUCCUGGGAAGUCCUCGUGUUGCAUUCC
rnacentral:rRNA from 1 species